CCGUGCGAAGGUAGCAUAAUCACUUGUUCUCUAAAUAGGGACUUGUAUCAACGGCAUCACGAGGGUUACACUGUCUCCUUUCUCCAAUCAGUGAAACUGAUCUCCCCGUGAAGAAGCGGGGAUAAGAAUAUAAGACGAGAAGACCCCAUGGAGCUUUAAGCUCAACAACACCUCUACAAUAUACCUCCUCUUAAACUACGAGACCUGUCUGUUAGCUUUAGGUUGGGGUGACCGCGGAGUAUAAUAUAACCUCCACGACUGACGGGACUAACCCCUUAUCCAAGAGCCACUGCUCUAAGAAUCAUUAAUUUGAUGUAAAAUGAUCCGUUCUUCGAUCAACGAACCAAGUUACCCUGGGGAUAACAGCGCAAUCUACUUCAAGAGCUCCUAUCGACAAGUAGGUUUACGACCUCGAUGUUGGAUCAGGGUAUCCUAGUGGUGCAGCCGCUACUAAAGGUUCGUUUGUUCAACGAUUAAAACCCUACAUGAU
rnacentral:rRNA from 1 species